UAUAAACAGCCACAGUUCAGCCUCAGCUAUCCCCCUUCGUCCACCAUCGUCACGAUACAGGAUGCGAGGCAAGGCACUGCACUUGAGUGAUCCUUGACGUGGACCUCAAGGAGAGCAUGUCCUAUUGCAUGCGGGUUAGACGCGUCCACGCCCCGCCCCACGAAAAAAGGCGUCGGCUGAUAUGGCUUCAGAUCUGGGGAAGGCGCCUCCUUAGGACUGAGUCAUACUAUGCAGCCACUUCUGCACAGUGGGAUAGGACCUCUACUCUCGCCUGUAUUGUUUUAAGAAAACAGAAAGGGGGAACUGUGGUGAGCCGCUUCUGCCGUUUCUGCAGAUUAUGGUCGCCAUUACAAGAUGAUGCUGGCUCCGCUGUGGUCUGUGACAAACAACUCCUUAUCUGGGAGAGUUGGCACAUGAUUUUUCACCACCCUGUACACCACCCUGUGAGAAAGCUCCACGCGGCAGCUUUGCAUUGGGGCUUGGGAUGCUUUAUUAAGGCUGGGAGGGGCAUCCGAGAGAGAGAGAAG
rnacentral:lncRNA from 1 species